UGAUUCCUACGGGAGGCAGCAGUCGGGAAUAUUGCGCAAUGGAGGAAACUCUGACGCAGUGACGCCGCGUAUAGGAAGAAGGUCUUCGGAUUGUAAACUAUUGUCAUUAGGGAAGAGAAAGGACAGUACCUAAAGAGGAAGCUCCGGCUAACUACGUGCCAGCAGCCGCGGUAAUACGUAGGGAGCAAGCGUUAUCCGGAUUUAUUGGGUUUAAAGGGUGCGCAGGCGGCGAGUUAAGUCAGCGGUAAAAUUUCGGGGCUCAACCCCGACGAGCCGUUGAAACUGGCUUGCUAGAGUGGGCGAGA
rnacentral:rRNA from 1 species